rnacentral:rRNA from 1 species
UCUUCGGACGCUAUUCUCACCCUUUGUUUAUUAACUUUGUUGCUUUGGCAGGCCUCCGGCUUCGGCUGGGUCGUGUCUGCCAGAGGCCUAACUCUUGAAUCACUGCGGUCUGAGUACUAUAUAAUAGUUAAAACUUUCAACAACGGAUCUCUUGGUUCUGGCAUCGAUGAAGAACGCAGCGAAAUGCGAUAAUUAAUGUGAAUUGCAGACUCAGUGAAUCAUCGAAUCUUUGAACGCACAUUGCGCCCUCUGGUAUUCCGGGGGGCAUGCCUGUUCGAGCGUCAUUACAACCCUCAAGCUCUGCUUGGUGUUGGGCUCGCCCUGUAGGGCCUGCCUCAAAGUCAGUGGCGGCACCGUCUGACCCUAAGCGUAGUAAUACUCGCCGCUUGUGGACUCAGCGCGUGGCCAGCCAGCCAACCCCCACCAUCAAGGUUGACCUCGGAUCAGGUAGGGAUACCCGCUGAACUUAAGCAUAUCAAAAACCCGGAGGAAA